GAACGCACCUUGCGCCCUUUGGCCAUUCCGAAGGGCAUGCCUGUUUGAGUAUCAUGAACACCUCAACUCUCAUGGUUCGCCAUGAUGAGCUUGGACUUUGGGGGCCUUGCCGGCUUGACUGUCGGCUCCUCUCAAAUGAAUCAGCUUGCCAGUGUUUGGUGGCAUCACAGGUGUGAUAACUAUCUACGCUUGUGACCGUUCACCAGGUAACCUUCAGCGAUGGAGGUUCGCUGGAGCUCACAGACGUCUCUCCUCAGCGAGGACAGCUUUUUUGAACGUUUGAUCUCAAAUCAGGUAGGACUACCCGCUGAACUUAAG
rnacentral:misc_RNA from 1 species